rnacentral:rRNA from 1 species
UACGUAGGGUCCGAGCGUUGUCCGGAAUUAUUGGGUGUAAAGAGCUCGUAGGCGGUUUGUCGCGUCUGCCGUGAAAGUCCGGGGCUCAACUCCGGAUCUGCGGUGGGUACGGGCAGACUAGAGUGAUGUAGGGGAGACUGGAAUUCCUGGUGUAGCGGUGAAAUGCGCAGAUAUCAGGAGGAACACCGAUGGCGAAGGCAGGUCUCUGGGCAUUAACUGACGCUGAGGAGCGAAAGCAUGGGGAGCGAACAGG